GCUUGUUCUGGGAUGGAGCUGAAGCUUCCAGCUCCUCCUGCUUGUCCCUCAUGCUGGGUGCAUCGGUGCAGAAACAUUCCAAAUGUGCUCCAGUGUACCCAGCGUGGCAUGGAGCAGGCCGAAGGAUCUCGCUAGCGCACACUCCCUCCCAUUUUGGUGUGCCACUUAGAAGAUUCUGUCAGGACAGAACAAUAAUGGAUGAUGCUCAGAGGGCCUUACGGGGCAAGUGAGCUUUCCAGAAACACCUUUUACCCUGAUCUCCUGGGAGGCAGCAGACUUCUCCAUGGGUUGGGUCAGGCCGGCAUAUGCGGCCCUCUGUUCUGCUCAGAAGGGAGUCACUUAUGACAGUAACCCUUCUCUUCUUCUUGAUGGAGGUGGUCGUGAUACUGGGGAAGGCUGACUUGCCCUAGAAAACCCCUCCAACCUGGAUGGACCUUCAUGCACAUCAUCGUUUGUGUGUCCAUUACUUCCAGAGUCUGUUGUUUCAGGGCACCUGAAAGGAAGGUGAGGUAGGCAAGGAGGGGUUCGCCUGCUGCCCCGAGCAGAUCUAAACUUCCAUCCCUUCGUCACUGAGAUGCACUCCUUCUGCCUGAUGGCCAGAGGCCUGCCCACCUCCUCCCGAAGCUCUGCCAGGAGGCUGAGCAGUUCUUCUACCUGGGCGCACCUACCACAGGUGGACUCACAGGAUGGGAUGUCAGGAAGAAUUUCUUCAUGCAAAGGGUGGAACCGGCUGCCCAGGGCACUGCUGGAGUCCCAGGCCUGGAGCUAUUAAAGAAAUGCGUGGACUUGGCGCUAAGGGCCGUGGUUUUGUGGUGGGCCUGGUGGUGUUAGCUGACGCUUGGACUUGAGCUGAAGGCCCUUUUCCAAGCGCAAGGGUUCUGUGACUCUUUCACUGGUUGAGUAGGCGCCAUGCAGUCACCGGGCCCAGGGAAAAGACGUCCUUGGUGGCCUCCAAGUUAGCUCAGCGUCAUGGCACCGAGUCACUGUGAAGGAGCUGCUGGAAUAACGAGACAACAACCUAGUUCUAUUAAAAUAUAUAUUGCUCUUUUGAGGACUGCUGCGGGGCUAGCGGCAACACGGCAGUGGAAAUCUCCGUCCUGACAUUGCCUUAUGCCUUGACAUCAGGAUCAGGGUGGUUUGAACUGCCAGGGAACGGACCAUGGGUUCCGGGUCUUUCUCUGAAGGCUGGAGGACUGCAAAAGAAAGAAGAGCAGAGAUGAAAACCCACUCCUUGCAGAGAUCCCCAGGCAUCCCCUGCAGAGCAUGCCAGCCCCACUCGACUCUUCCCCAGGCCAGGAGGAGCAGGAGGGACAAAGGAAUCCGUUGAAAGCUGCUGCUCAGCAAUGUCCCAAAUGCAGCCACCAGUCCUUCCCCACCUGCGCACCACAGGUCAAGUGGGGCACCUUCACAAGCUGGUUCCCUCACCACCUGCCUCCAUCCCUUGGGAGGAUUCACACACUCCAGGAAUCUCCUGGACUCUUUCCUCUCGCUAUUGUGCUUCCCCAUGAGAGCAAGGGCUAGCAAUCGUGACCCUGCUCCUAGCUGCUUGUAGGCUGUCUCAUCUCCCUCUUCGUCCUGGUUGCGUGCUCUACAACAGGCUCCCACCUUCUGUCAGCCUUACUGCCCUUUCCCCUGACUCUUCCUCAGGGACACUCAACCCUUUCAGCGGCACUGCCCAGCUCCAGGCUGGGAGGCCAUUCCCUGACACCACAGGCUACCCCGUCUCCUCUCCCUCGUUCCUAUGGCUG